AACUGAAUUCAUAGGUUAAUGAGGCGAACCGGGGGAACUGAAACAUCUAAGUACCCCGAGGAAAAGAAAUCAACCGAGAUUCCCCCAGUAGCGGCGAGCGAACGGGGAGGAGCCCAGAGCCUGAAUCAGUGUGUGUGUUAGUGGAAGCGUCUGGAAAGGCGCGCGAUACAGGGUGACAGCCCCGUACACAAAAAUGCACAUGCUGUGAGCUCGAUGAGUAGGGCGGGACACGUGGUAUCCUGUCUGAAUAUGGGGGGACCAUCCUCCAAGGCUAAAUACUCCUGACUGACCGAUAGUGAACCAGUACCGUGAGGGAAAGGCGAAAAGAACCCCGGCGAGGGGAGUGAAAAAGAACCUGAAACCGUGUACGUACAAGCAGUGGGAGCCUCUUUAUGGGGUGACUGCGUACCUUUUGUAUAAUGGGUCAGCGACUUAUAUUCUGUAGCAAGGUUAACCGAAUAGGGGAGCCGAAGGGAAACCGAGUCUUAACUGGGCGUUAAGUUGCAGGGUAUAGACCCGAAACCCGGUGAUCUAGCCAUGGGCAGGUUGAAGGUUGGGUAACACUAACUGGAGGACCGAACCGACUAAUGUUGAAAAAUUAGCGGAUGACUUGUGGCUGGGGGUGAAAGGCCAAUCAAACCGGGAGAUAGCUGGUUCUCCCCGAAAGCUAUUUAGGUAGCGCCUCGUGAAUUCAUCUCCGGGGGUAGAGCACUGUUUCGGCAAGGGGGUCAUCCCGACUUACCAACCCGAUGCAAACUGCGAAUACCGGAGAAUGUUAUCACGGGAGACACACGGCGGGUGCUAACGUCCGUCGUGAAGAGGGAAACAACCCAGACCGCCAGCUAAGGUCCCAAAGUCAUGGUUAAGUGGGAAACGAUGUGGGAAGGCCCAGACAGCCAGGAUGUUGGCUUAGAAGCAGCCAUCAUUUAAAGAAAGCGUAAUAGCUCACUGGUCGAGUCGGCCUGCGCGGAAGAUGUAACGGGGCUAAACCAUG
rnacentral:rRNA from 1 species